rnacentral:lncRNA from 1 species
GACGCCGCUGAUGGCAUGGAACAGCUGUUUGCUGCGCAUGCGGCCGUGCCUGCGUUAGACGUGUUGCAGCAGCUCCGGAAGGACGUCAGCCAGCAGCAGGCUCAAGCGCUGCUGAACAUUCACCGGGAAUGUCUUCAGUUGAGCAUGUGUAGUUUUGGUCGGCGGGGUCGACCAUCGUACGCAUUGCGCACGGAAGCCGAAGUGCAGCGUCUAUGCAGCAUUGCCAACAUAUCCGGUACGCGAGUGCUGGCUUCCGAGCACGAAAGACCGGGGGUCGCAUCUCAAGAAUCAACCAAGCAUGCAUUUGCCUCUGCAGAUGAAGACGCGGCGCGCUUCUGGGCGACGGGUGUCGGUCAGCGUUUACAUGGUAAGGCGAGAACCAACGAGCGGCAUAGUUGUGGUUAUGGCCGUGGUAUAUGAAAGGACCGCUCAUCUGGUACGUGCCCACAUUAGUCCGCCUCUAUUCAGUGACGGGUGUCGGUCUGCGUUUACGUGGUAAGGCAAGAAACAAGGGGUGGCAUAGGUCGGCUCAUGGCCGUGGCGCACGACCUUUCGUCUGGUACGAGCCCACAUUAGUCGCGUGCUCGGGUGCAUGCUUGGUAGCGUGCGUCUUCACCCAUCAUGUUGCCUGUUCUGGCAUGUCCGUCCAAGCGCGACGACUUGUACCUUGUGCCUUAUUCUUCGUUACUACAACUUAGCAGAGGACCGACGCGACGUGUACUGUAAACGCGCUGAUGUUGUUGUUGUUCUUGUUCCAGUUGUUCUUGUAUACGCGCCCGACGACAAGACUGCAUGUACAUUCCGCCGUGCGCCAAACGCCCUGUAACUCGCUUCGACUAAACUCACAUUCCAAUAUGCCACUGCACUUUCCUCUCCAGCCUGGCCCCAUUCUCUUCCUCGCAAACAUACUUCGGCACCUUCCACAUCACCAUACGUGCUUUGGAAACGCGGGCAGCUGCUUCACAAGGGCCCCCAUAUUUAGUUGCUCCUCGAUAGAACGAAGAAGUCUGGACAUCCCCCCUAAAUUCUCUGCCCAUAAGCGCACACUGUAUGUUAGGUUUUCUCGUUAGUUGUUACGUCGUUAGCAGGCUUACGUCGCUCCGCCCUCGUUGUAACAUUUGUGACAUCCCAACGAGAAACGGAGCCCUUGCUCUUUCAAUGUAUGUACGCGAACAACGUGUUUGUAAUUACUACUAUUAUAAGAAUAGAUUUCAGGUUAGGGUUGCUGGGGUACUAUUAUUUUGCCGUGCGACAAGCCUG